rnacentral:rRNA from 1 species
GAUGAACGCUGGCGGCGUGCUUAACACAUGCAAGUCGAACGGAAAGGCCCAAGCUUGCUUGGGUACUCGAGUGGCGAACGGGUGAGUAACACGUGGGUGAUCUGCCCUGCACUUCGGGAUAAGCCUGGGAAACUGGGUCUAAUACCGGAUAGGACCACAUUUUGGAUGGUGUGGUGGAAAGUUUUUCGGUGUGGGAUGAGCUCGCGGCCUAUCAGCUUGUUGGUGGGGUAAUGGCCUACCAAGGCGUCGACGGGUAGCCGGCCUGAGAGGGUGUACGGCCACAUUGGGACUGAGAGACGGGCCAGACUCCUGCGGGAGGCAGCAGUGGGGAAUAUUGCACAAUGGGCGCAAGCCUGAGGCAGCGACGCCGCGUGGGGGAUGACGGCCUUCGGGUUGUAAACUCCUUUCGCUAGGGACGAAGCGUUUUUGUGACGGUACCUGGAGAAGAAGCACCGGCUAACUACGUG